GUAGUCUCACACUAUCUCAUUUUAGUAUCCUGUGAUUUAAAGUGUAUCAAUUUAAUGUCAUGUGGUUUUAUUUUUAUCUUUUUAUUAUCGAUUUCACUAAUUUGUUUCAUUAAAUCAGUGAUAAAGUUAAAACUAAAAGGUACUAAAGUGAAUAUUCGAUAAACCUAGGUGAAGUAUUUGAAAUUUUUUUGUAUAUAAUUUAAUAAAAUAUUAACGAAAAAGCUGACGAAAAGAUAAAAAUGAAACCACAAGAUACUAACUUUAUACACUUUAAACUAUAUGGUACUAAAGUGAAAAAGUGUGAAACCACAGGAACAGCAUUUGAAGUUUACCCUUAUUAUUAUUAUUAUUAAACUAUGGCUAAAUUGCGAGUUUGGUCUAGGAAUGUCGAUGGGUACACAAACCUAAAUUUUUGUCCAAAUUCAAAUUAGGGCAUGUUUGGUUGUCUGUAAGUGAUCGAAGUGAACAAAAAUUACUUUUCAAAAAGUGACUUUUAUAAAAGUCACUCUUUGAGUUCAAGUGUUUAGUUUUAAAAAAAUGAAAGAAAAAAAUACAGUUUUUAUGACUUCUAUUGUUUGGUUCUGUAUAAGAAAAUAAAAAAAUAAAAUGAUUUUUUUAUGAUGCGUAGUUUUUUUUUUUUUUAGAUGGUAUGAAAUAAGGCACGUUUCUUUCUUUGUUUUUAUUUUUUUAAGAUGUGUUGGUUUUUUUUUGUUAAGAUACGGUGAUUUUUUUAUUUUUUUAUUUUUUAUUUUUUAGAUGGUAUGGAAGAAGAUUUUUAAAUGCGGUUCGUAAGUAGCGUGGAGUAGGCGGCCCACUUUCAACGACUUUGAAAUUUUUUUUGCCGAAGUCAAAAAAGUGGAUUUUAGUUAUAAUCUACUUCAUGGGUUCACUUUUCAAAAGUGACAUAUAUAUUUUUAUAAUCCAAACAGCGGAAAUAAUCCUACUUCGCCAAAAUAUCACUUUUAUUGUUUUACUUACGGGCAACCAAACAUGCCCUUAGAAUGAAUCGUGUUUAUUCGAUACUAAACGGAUAUGAUUUUAGAUACAUGUCUAAAUAGUAAAAAUUCAACGAAUU
rnacentral:lncRNA from 1 species